rnacentral:rRNA from 1 species
UGGGGAAUAUUGCACAAUGGGCGCAAGCCUGAUGCAGCCAUGCCGCGUGUGUGAAGAAGGCCUUCGGGUUGUAAAGCACUUUCAGCGGGGAGGAAGGCGAUAAGGUUAAUAACCUUGGCGAUUGACGUUACCCGCAGAAGAAGCACCGGCUAACUCCGUGCCAGCAGCCGCGGUAAUACGGAGGGUGCAAGCGUUAAUCGGAAUUACUGGGCGUAAAGCGCACGCAGGCGGUCUGUCAAGUCGGAUGUGAAAUCCCCGGGCUCAACCUGGGAACUGCAUUCGAAACUGGCAGGCUAGAGUAUUGUAGAGGGGGGUAGAAUUCCAGGUGUAGCGGUGAAAUGCGUAGAGAUCUGGGGGAAUACCGGUGGCGAAGGCGGCCCCCUGGACAAAGACUGACGCUCAGGUGCGAAAGCGUGGGGAGCAAACAGG